rnacentral:pre_miRNA from 12 species
AGUCUAGUGGAAACACUUCUGCACCAACUAGAUUAUGGGUAUCAGUGUGCGGAAAUGCUUCUGCUACAUU